rnacentral:lncRNA from 1 species
UGGGCACUUUAAUUAUUGUAUAAUAUUAUAUAAAAUAAGUAUAUAGUUUUAAAUUAUUUUUUAUGUUUAAUAAUCAUGUUUUGGUGCAGUUGUUUUUUGGGUUUAAUUUUGUUUAUUCAUAUUUCAGAUAAAAUGUCCGGGUCUAUUUAGAUAAUUUAUUUAUUGAUAGAUAAGUAUUAAGAAAAUGUACACCAAAAAAUAUUCUUAUAUAUGCACAUUUUAAUUUAUGAAUGGGUUUGAUAUAUGUGUUAUUUAUUAAUUAAAUCUUGAAUUUCACUUAAAUAAGAAAUGAUUAUUGGAGACUUAAAUGAAUAUUUGAUACCGUUUAACUGAACUAUUAUAAUUUUCUAGAUAUACAAUUUCAACUGAUAAAAUGAAACAUUGCAAUUUCUGGUGAUGGACCAUUACAAGUUUUAGUGAUGAAAAAUUGCAAUGUUUGGUGUUAACCAUUAUAACUCUUGGUUAACCUUUCGUGUAAAAUGAUGUGUCUUUUCAUCCUAAAUAUUGCAUAAGUUUUUAAGAGAUUGUUAUAAUAUAUAUAAGAAAGUGUAUUUAUAAGGAUGUGUCUUUUCAUGUUAAAAUUACAUUGAAUUUAAAAUAUUGUUAGAAAUGUAUAAUAAUUUGUCUUUUAUCAUAAACCUUAUAUAGAUUUUUUAAU